rnacentral:rRNA from 1 species
UACGGAGGGUGCGAGCGUUGUCCGGAAUCACUGGGCGUAAAGGGCGCGUAGGCGGCGCGGGCAGUCAACGGUGAAAGCUCGGGGCUCAACUCCGAGUCGGCCGUCGAUACUCCCGCGCUCGAGCACUGUAGAGGCAGGUGGAAUUCCUGGUGUAGCGGUGGAAUGCGCAGAUAUCGAGAGGAACACCUGCGGCGAAGGCGGUGCUGGGCUGACACGUUGACGCUGGAGGCGCGAAAGACUAGGGAGCGAACGGGAUUAGAUACCCGUGG